rnacentral:tRNA from 1 species
UGUCCCGUUGUGUAAUGGUAGCACAACAGUCUCUGGAUCUGUUUGUCGGAGUUCGAAUCUCUGCGGGACAACUA